CUGAAAUUCUACAGCUGGUUUAUUUGCUCAGGUGCUGGAACACAUAGUUUUAGGACUUACAAACAACCGUUAUGUGAACAAAAGUAUAAAACUCUCCUUAGCAACUUUGUUCCGAGAGUAUAAUAAAAUACAAAUAGAACUCUGAACGCUAUGUAUUUGGUUUGUUAUAACUAAUCAGCUGAUUCCUGUUUACUUCUAUUUGCUUUUGGUUAGAUUUGUGUUUGAAUUUGAAUUUCUUUCAAUUUGCUAUUUUCGACGGUUUCUGGAUUAAUGGAGUAGUAUAAUAUUAUACAGGCAUAAGCAAAGUGGGUGCGUUCCAACCCAACAAAAAAGUGGCUGUUGAGAAAUGAGAAAUCAUUGGUUAAAUUUUGAGACAAAACAAGUAUUUUGAAGUAUUAUGAAGUAGUAUAAAAAGGAUAUGGUCGGAUAGAGGAGAUUAUCCUGAUCAAGGAUAUAUGUAUAUAGUUAUAGCCGCAGGAAGCUUAUAGUUUUCGAGAUAUUCGCGUUUAAAGUUGAAAAUUUGCAACAUUUUAAUUACAUAUUUUCGAUAUUUAAAAUUAAUUUUGCACUUAUAUUUUUCAAUUUUAUAUGCACUAACACUUCACUAAUUCAUUUGUACACAUUUAUUUUAUAUAAUAUAGUGCAAAAAUAGCUUUUAAUAUACAUUUAAAUUAUUGUUGAAUUAUGAUUAUUUAAGAAUAACAAAUUAAUUACAAACUGUCAAAUAAUCAGUGUUACGUUAUCGACAUCAUUUGUAAUAAAGUGAACAGAUUAUACCCCAAAUACGAGAA